rnacentral:ncRNA from 1 species
GAGAGCCGGAUGCGGUGGAAGCCGCACGUCCGGUUCGGAGGGCGGGCCGCGGAAACCCACC